AGUCCCCCUUGGCUGCCCUCCCCUCUACACGCGGGCCAGCAGUGCCGUUCAACUGAAAUCCCUUCUACACGCGCAGACGAGAAAGGUAAAAAAAGGGGCGUACUUCACCUCCGCACGUCUUGGGUACAUUACACGGUAUCAUGAACAGCGUGUCGUGCGCGCCGUUGACAGAAGCCGAGGUGCGCGAGCUGAGCACGGCUGAGAUCCGAUUGAACCUGGAGCGGUGCAGCCGGCUCCUAUCUCAAGCCUCGCUCCUUCGGCGACUUCGUGACGGCGGCGAAGGCAUCCGUCGCCGCAGCCAGCUUUUCGCCAAAGAGCUGGAGCGACGGCACAGGGUCGAGGCAGCAAACGGCGAUGCCUCUACCCGCCUUACACCUUCCACGUUGACCGAGGCACUCAAGCGGGACAACGAGGCGGCAAUCUUGUCCGAGUCUACGCACAAUGCCACCGACGCGGCGCGGGAGAUCGCGCAAAAAUACAAGGAUCACCGCAUAGAUGUGGAGGCUACAGUCCGUCGGAUGUACGAAGGCAUCCUCAGCGAGAGCGAGAUCCAGCGCAUCCUGCAGAGCGUGCCUCCCCGCUUCUUUCUCACCUACGCCGAAACGUGUGAGAUGGAGCGGCAGCUAGCAAGGGAUGCGCGAAAAGCGGAGCUGCAGAAACUGGCGGCCCAGGCGGCGCGCCUCAGUGCCACACCGCAGUGAGUGACACUAAUGUGAUAUGCGUUUGCUGAUUAUCCGAAAGGCUCUUGUAGAAUUCGAGAGGGUGGCCUUUCUGUGCGAUUUCGGUCCAAGGAAAGAAAUGCUGAGGUGAAUCACUGCUGCCACUGUCUCCUCCCUUGCCCUUACUGCAUUCGUUGCGGUGUAAGCGCACUGCAGGUGUGCAGGUCGUGAGUCCACGAACACCUGUGACGAAAGAUGCUUUUAUUCAUCGGAUGGAAGCAAGAAAAACGGAAAAAAGAUAACCGGAAAAGGGUCAUCCGCGCUCUGCGCACCCUACCGAGUUCCGCGCUUGAUGCUCGUCUUCAUGUGCUACUAAGUGGCACUGGCGCACCGACAUGCGUGAGUGUGCGUACAGCUUUGUGAGGACGUUUGGCGACAUGUGUCUCGUCCCUUUCGUUUCGCCCCGGAGCCUCCUCUGCGUAUGCUGCCGUGGCGCGACAGUCGCAGCGGCACAGCAGCAGACCCACAUAUCUGCCGGAAUCGCUGGCUGCGGAGGAAAGUACCGGUGCAGGCGCGCCGCCCACAGAGGUACAGGAGGCGCUACACUUCAACGCACAUGGCCUCUUUCAUUUGUUCCCCUCGUUUGCCUUGCUAACAUACCAACUGAGGAAUGCCUUCAUGUUUCUUUUUUUUCUGGCGCUUCAUGCCCCCCCCCCCCCCAACACCUUUGCCGGCGCCUUUGCGGUUUGUCCCCGCUUCGAUGCGUGUCUUCUUGGCUGCUCACCGCCCUCCACCCGUUCGUACUUCCUUGCCGAAAG
rnacentral:misc_RNA from 1 species